CUAUCGCAUACUAUUGCCACACUAUUGCAAUGCCCUCGUGCUACCUAACGAACCUAAACUGACCUGAACCCACCUAAACCUAAGUGAACCUAAGUGACCUAAGUACUUGACCUAUCAUCUACGAUCGCUGUACCUAAUUUACUUCUGGAGGAACAGAUCGCAAAUCUGCAGUUGAAGACGUUAAACUACUGUAUGUUUUCAUCUGAUGCGCAGUUUGGCAAAAACCAAAGUCCACGACUCAUCAUUCUUAUCAGAAUGAAAUCCAACAAAUGGAGUGGCUACAGCAUCAGCUACUUGACCGAUAAGCAAGACUACUCCAGCCAGUGUUGCAUUAAAUCCCAAUAUCAAAUGAAAAUAUACUAAUAAAUAUGUG